UUUAAAGAGAGUUUGAUCCUGGCUCAGGACGAACGCUGGCGGCGUGCCUAAUACAUGCAAGUCGAACGAACGGAGGAAGAGCUUGCUCUUCCAAUGUUAGUGGCGGACGGGUGAGUAACACGUGGGCAACCUGCCUGUAAGUUGGGGAUAACUCCGGGAAACCGGGGCUAAUACCGAAUGAUAAGAUGUGGCGCAUGCCACGCCUUUGAAAGAUGGUUUCGGCUAUCGCUUACAGAUGGGCCCGCGGUGCAUUAGCUA
rnacentral:rRNA from 1 species